AGGUGGUGCAUGGUUGUCGUCAGCUCGUGUCGUGAGAUGUUGGGUUAAGUCCCGCAACGAGCGCAACCCUCGACCUUAGUUGCCAGCAUUCAGUUGGGCACUCUAAGGUGACUGCCGGCUAAAAGUCAGAGGAAGGUGGGGAUGACGUCAAAUCAUCAUGCCCCUUAUGACCUGGGCUACACACGUGCUACAAUGGGCGGUACAAAGGGUCGCGAACCCGCGAGGGGGAGCCAAUCCCAAAAAGCCGCUCUCAGUUCGGAUUGCAGGCUGCAACUCGCCUGCAUGAAGCCGGAAUCGCUAGUAAUCGCGGAUCAGCAUGCCGCGGUGAAUACGUUCCCGGGCCUU
rnacentral:rRNA from 1 species